GAAUGAGUAAAAGCAUGCUGUCUGAAAUUACCUGUGACAUUUCCAGGAGCCCUUUUAGCUUCCAUUUUUAGGAACCAGCUUACUGGAACUUUAUAAGCAUUGUUUUCUGAAAAUUUCAAGGACUACAAUAACUGGGCUGAACACGGCAGGCAAGUCUCUCCAGAGUGGAUUACCAGUACCUGAAGCAUUGUCAGACAGCAGUGCAAGAGCUCCAAGCAGGAUAGACGCUGGUAGUGAGCACAACACAAAGGGUAGAAUCAUUACCAAGAGGCAUAGUACAAGGAAUACAGCGAUCUAGGAUUCUCAGAAUUAAAGGAAAGCAGGAAUAUUAACAGACCUCAAAGGAACCAGUUCUACUGUUUAAUUAAUCGAUGUAACAAGCAGUUGCUAAGGACUGGGGUGCAUGCAAUUCAUUGAUGCCAAAGACACUGCGAGACACAAAGUGUGCUUGUGUGUGUGUGUGACCACCUGCGUACUGCUGUGUCUGUUUGCCCAGCUCAUGACCUACCAGGGGUGUCAGAACCUGUUAAUAUGUGAAACGUUCAGCAGAUAUUGAUAUACAUUAGUGUUGGAACUUGUUAUCCAAUGCAAGGGAAUGGCAAUGAACUCUAGCCAGGAAUGCAGAGCAGUCCGGCUCUUUUCAUAGUGUUUAAGAAGCUUGCUUGCCUUGUGCAGGGUCGCUGGUUCACGCCCAGCCUAUACCCCAUUACACUGACUGCAAUGACUUCGAUCUCGUUGAUUGGCUGCAGCCGGUCGCUGGGGUUUGAGGAGGGAAGAGUGUAAUGGACAGUAUUGUGUAAAGACUCACAUAAUGGAUUAUGACCCGUCAGUGAGAUGAGACCAGGUUACAAGCUUCAUAACCAAGUAUCAAGGCAAGUCCGACUCUUUUUGGUAGCUGUUACACCUAGUAUAGCAAAUCACAGCUCAUAGAUACAGUAGGAUGUUUUCCGAGUUUUAGAGAAUCACAUUGUAUAACAUCUGUUUUGUACCCCCACUGUUUAGAAUCAUGCAUAUUUUCCAAUCCAUACAGACACAAGCUUUCAUAGAAACGAACACCCAGGUCUUACAUGAAUAUGUACAAAAGUAGAAAACACAAAUUUGGUCAAUAAGAUUCUUUAAAAACUUUUUGCAUCUUCUCAAAAUGACUUCAUUACAGUUCUGUGUUUUGAUUCUGUGUUCCAUUAUAAUACCUGCUCUUGUUUUAUCAUGCUGCAUUUCUGCCUUUGUCUCAGCCUUUCCUUCGUUUUCUCUCCU